rnacentral:rRNA from 1 species
GAGUUUGAUCCUGGCUCAGGAUGAACGCUGGCGGCGUGCUUAACACAUGCAAGUCGAACGAAACACCUUAUUUGAUUUUCUUCGGAACUGAAGAUUUGGUGAUUGAGUGGCGGACGGGUGAGUAACGCGUGGGUAACCUGCCCUGUACAGGGGGAUAACAGUCAGAAAUGACUGCUAAUACCGCAUAAGACCACAGCACCGCAUGGUGCAGGGGUAAAAACUCCGGUGGUACAGGAUGGACCCGCGUCUGAUUAGCUGGUUGGUGAGGUAACGGCUCACCAAGGCGACGAUCAGUAGCCGGCUUGAGAGAGUGAACGGCCACAUUGGGACUGAGACACGGCCCAAACUCCUACGGGAGGCAGCAGUGGGGAAUAUUGCACAAUGGGGGAAACCCUGAUGCAGCGACGCCGCGUGAAGGAAGAAGUAUCUCGGUAUGUAAACUUCUAUCAGCAGGGAAGAUAGUGACGGUACCUGACUAGGAAGCCCCGGCUAACUACGUGCCAGCCGCCGCGGUAAUUC